UAUUGCAGAAAAGCUAUGAAUUAGAUCAUUAACGAUUUAUCAAAUACAGUUUUCGACUAUAUUUCUUUUAACUGAAGUUUUUCUAUGAAUUUGCAUGAUGUAUAUAUUAUGUUACAAAAGGUAUGUAUGAAAAUUUUGGUAGACGUCUUUUUUGACAUAGUGGAAAGAUGGGGGUCGUGAAAUACGUGUGGGGUGGUCAAUUACCAUGAUAUUUCGUAUAAUUUUUGCGUUGAAUUCUCAACUGUUAAAAUUACUUUAUUAUUAUUUAGCCAUUGUAGGAUAGAUACUGUUGGUCAUUACGGUUUAUUUCAUUUUUAUAAAAGCUGAAUUUUAGUUGUGUAACUUUGUACCUUACUUUUUUAAAGAAAUAUUCUUUAAAAAAUGAAACAAAUGUAUUUUCAAAACAAAAACAUUAUCUCUUUAAUACAUUAUCUUUAUUCUCUUUAAACAAAUUUUACAUGAUGUUGAAAUAUAUUGUUUUUUUUUUCCGAUUUAUUGAAGUCCUAUAACUCCUUAAAACGAGAGGAUUGAGGGAACAUUUCCAUUACCACUCUUUCUAUUGUCAAAUUGAAAGCAUCUUAAGCCCGACCUAUAUUAUUUGAACUGUAAAGCACCGUUUAUGGAUUUUCCUCGGAGACUCGUGGAAAAAUCGUUAAUUCAUGACGCACCAACUCGCAUGAAAGAAAAAUGAUUGCCCGCUGUGUUUUCAAGCGCGGAAAUAUUAAAUUGUAUUCCUACGGGUCUUCGCGGAGCAAAGGCGAUUCUGGGCCGCGGAGGGUGUCCGAGAUCACUAACCAAUAUUUAAUCAACUUUGCAGGAGAGAAUAUUAUUCUCCGGACAAAUCAAGGACAUAUGUAUCAGACCGCCAAGGGGGAAGACCGACACGUUCGUGCGUAUUGAUAUCAAAGACACACACAUACACACACCUUCUAUACGCGUUGUCCCUUCGGCAAACAAUGGCGUAAUUUUGAGAGCGAAAGAUUUAUUCAAAAGGAUACGCCUAUGUAGCAUUUGGUUGUGUGUGUGUCGCUUGGAGAUGCGCACGGUGGCAGCGUGCGACACACGUUCCGCGUGUCGGGAACGGAAUUCCCCUGGGAUAAGAUUCAGGAAAGAGGGUGGAACACCGCGACUGCUCUCAUCGUGGCACUCUCUCUCUCGUGAGAACAAGUGCAAAACAAAUGUCGCACAGGAGCCAGUCGACUGAUGUGCACCGCCGCCGCCGCGCCGUGCUAUGCUCGUGAAAAUUGUUUCUCUAGGUCGAAAUAAAUCAUAUUUUCCCUUA